rnacentral:rRNA from 1 species
GAUGAACGCUGGCGGCGUGCCUAAUACAUGCAAGUCGAGCGAACAGAUGAGGAGCUUGCUCCUCUGACGUUAGCGGCGGACGGGUGAGUAACACGUGGAUAACCUACCUAUAAGACUGGGAUAACUUCGGGAAACCGGAGCUAAUACCGGAUAAUAUAUUGAACCGCAUGGUUCAAUAGUGAAAGACGGUUUUGCUGUCACUUAUAGAUGGAUCCGCGCCGCAUUAGCUAGUUGGUAAGGUAACGGCUUACCAAGGCGACGAUGCGUAGCCGACCUGAGAGGGUGAUCGGCCACACUGGAACUGAGACACGGUCCAGACCCCUACGGGAGGCAGCAGUAGGGAAUCUUCCGCAAUGGGCGAAAGCUUGACGGAGCAACGCCGCGUGAGUGAUGAAGGUCUUCGGAUCGUAAAACUCUGUUAUUAGGGAAGAACAAAUGUGUAAGUAACUAUGCACGUCUUGACGGUACCUAAUCAGAAAGCCACGGCUAACUACGUG